GACGAACGCUGGCGGCGUGCUUAACACAUGCAAGUCGAACGCUGAAGCUUGGUGCUUGCACUGGGUGGAUGAGUGGCGAACGGGUGAGUAAUACGUGAGUAACCUGCCCUUGACGCUGGGAUAAGCCUGGGAAACUGGGUCUAAUACUGGAUACGACAUGUCACCGCAUGGUGGUGUGUGGAAAGGGUUUUACUGGUUUUGAUGGGCUCACGGCCUAUCAGCUUGUUGGUGGGGUAAUGGCUCACCAAGGCGACGACGGGUAGCCGGCCUGAGAGGGUGACCGGCCACACUGGGACUGAGACACGGCCCAGACUCCUACGGGAGGCAGCAGUGGGGAAUAUUGCACAAUGGGCGGAAGCCUGAUGCAGCGACGCCGCGUGAGGGAUGACGGCCUUCGGGUUGUAAACCUCUUUCAGCACGGAAGAAGCGAAAGUGACGGUACGUGCAGAAGAAGCGCCGGCUAACUACGUG
rnacentral:rRNA from 1 species